UACGUAGGGGGCAAGCGUUGUCCGGAAUUAUUGGGCGUAAAGAGCUCGUAGGCGGUUUGUCGCGUCGUGCUGUGAAAACCUAAGGCUCAACCUUGGGCUUGCAGUGGGUACGGGCAGACUAGAGUGCGGUAGGGGUGACUGGAAUUCCUGGUGUAGCGGUGGAAUGCGCAGAUAUCAGGAGGAACACCGAGUGGCGAAGGCAGGUCACUGGGCCGCAACUGACGCUGGAGGAAGCGGAAAGCAUAGGGGAGCGAAC
rnacentral:rRNA from 1 species